GGUUAAGCGACUAAGCGUACACGGUGGAUGCCCUGGCAGUCAGAGGCGAUGAAGGACGUGCUAAUCUGCGAUAAGCGUCGGUGAGGUGAUAUGAACCGUUAUAACCGGCGAUUUCCGAAUGGGGAAACCCAGUGUGUUUCGACACACUAUCAUUAACUGAAUCCAUAGGUUAAUGAGGCGAACCGGGGGAACUGAAACAUCUAAGUACCCCGAGGAAAAGAAAUCAACCGAGAUUCCCCCAGUAGCGGCGAGCGAACGGGGAGGAGCCCAGAGCCUGAAUCAGUGUGUGUGUUAGUGGAAGCGUCUGGAAAGGCGUGCGAUACAGGGUGACAGCCCCGUACACAAAAAUGCACAUAUUGUGAGCUCGAUGAGUAGGGCGGGACACGUGGUAUCCUGUCUGAAUAUGGGGGGACCAUCCUCCAAGGCUAAAUACUCCUGACUGACCGAUAGUGAACCAGUACCGUGAGGGAAAGGCGAAAAGAACCCCGGCGAGGGGAGUGAAAAAGAACCUGAAACCGUGUACGUACAAGCAGUGGGAGCCUCUUAAUGGGGUGACUGCGUACCUUUUGUAUAAUGGGUCAGCGACUUAUAUUCUGUAGCAAGGUUAACCGAAUAGGGGAGCCGAAGGGAAACCGAGUCUUAACUGGGCGUUAAGUUGCAGGGUAUAGACCCGAAACCCGGUGAUCUAGCCAUGGGCAGGUUGAAGGUUGGGUAACACUAACUGGAGGACCGAACCGACUAAUGUUGAAAAAUUAGCGGAUGACUUGUGGCUGGGGGUGAAAGGCCAAUCAAACCGGGAGAUAGCUGGUUCUCCCCGAAAGCUAUUUAGGUAGCGCC
rnacentral:rRNA from 1 species